rnacentral:lncRNA from 1 species
CAGCGGUAGAGUGCUCACCUAGCGCAGGCAAGGCCCUGGGUUCAAUCUUCAGCACCCCAUAAAAAUAAAUAAAAAAAAUGAAGAUUUUGACAACUACCAGUAAAAUACAAGAAAUGCUCACUGUAGCGUUCUCUGAGGAAGGAGGAUGGAGCACAUAGCUGAGCCUGGACGGUGGUGAGAUCACACUGGGAGGUAGUUAGCAAGGUUUUACUGGUACGGAGGGACUGCUAAGUGCCAGGAAACCUGGGAUGGACUUCCCCUGGAAGCACUUUCUCCCCUUCUAACUCCCGGUUUCUACAGCUGAAGACAAGAUCUAAAGCUCCAUCUAUGGAGGCUCCCAGGAGAAAGGAAGUGUCCAAACGGGAGGAGCCCCAGUCACGGUGAGGUUCUGACCUCACUGAGUGUGUUAGCUUUUUUAUGCAACAAAUACCUGACAUAGACAACUUGAAGGAAGGAAGGUCUGUUCUGGCUGACAGUUUAGAGGUUCCAGUCCAUGGUUGGUGACCGUGAGGCAGACACAGUCUGGUAGAGGAGCCUGGCACAAGAAAGUGGCUCAGCUCAUGGCAUCCAGGGCAGCAGGGGCCAGGGCAUACCCUAGAAGUGACCCACUUCCUCCAACUAGGUCCCAUUGCCCAAGAAUCCAUUAAAAUGAUCGAUCUAUCAAGUGGACGAAUCCACCUGGUGGAACUUCCCCAUGAGGUUAUAGCCCCAUGAUUCUGAAACCCUACCUCUGGGCAUUGCUGCACUGGGGACCAGGCCUUCAAGUACAAGAUCCUUUGAGGGACUUUCCAGAUCCACCCAUAAUGCCGAGGGAAGUCAAAACUGGGCCGGGAGCUCCGGAGAGUUUCCUUCACGUUCAUCAUGAUUCCUUAGGAGGCCAGAUCAAUCUGGCAUGAAAAGUGAAGGUGCAAAGGAGAGAGAAGGACAGGAGCAACAUCUGAAGACUCACAGUGGCCCAAAAGAGAAAAUACUG